CCCUUAGAUGUUCUGGGCCGCGCGCGCGCUACACUGAUUCAUGCAACAAGUUUUGUCCUUGGCUGAUAGGCCUGGGUAAUCUUUGAACGUGAAUCGUGAUGGGGAUAGAUGAUUGCAAUUAUUCAUCUUCAACGAGGAAUUCCUAGUAAACGCAAGUCAUCAGCUUGCAUUGAUUACGUCCCUGCCCUUUGUACACACCGCCCGUCGCACCUACCGAUUGAAUGGUCCGGUGAAAUCUUCGGAUCUGAGAGAUGUCUGAUUAAUUUCGGACGCCUUUUGGAAAAGUUGUUUAAACCUUACCAUUUAGAGGAAGGUGAAGUCGUAACA
rnacentral:rRNA from 1 species